rnacentral:rRNA from 1 species
UACGGAGGGGGCAAGCGUUAUCCGGAUUUACUGGGUUUAAAGGGUGUGUAGGCGGGCUGUUAAGUCAGUGGUGAAAUCUCCGGGCUCAACCCGGAAACUGCCAUUGAUACUAAUGGUCUUGAAUUUUGUUGAGGUAGGCGGAAUAAGUCAUGUAGCGGUGAAAUGCAUAGAUAUGACUUAGAACACCAAUUGCGAAGGCAGCUUGCUAAACAAAUAUUGACGCUGAGGCACGAAAGCGUGGGGAUCAAACAGG